GAUGAACGCUGGCGGCGUGCCUAAUACAUGCAAGUCGAGCGAACAGACGAGGAGCUUGCUCCUCUGACGUUAGCGGCGGACGGGUGAGUAACACGUGGAUAAUCUACCUAUAAGACUGGGAUAACUUCGGGAAACCGGAGCUAAUACCGGAUAAUAUAUUGAACCGCAUGGUUCAAUAGUGAAAGACGGUUUUGCUGUCACUUAUAGAUGGAUCCGCGCCGCAUUAGCUAGUUGGUAAGGUAACGGCUUACCAAGGCGACGAUGCGUAGCCGACCUGAGAGGGUGAUCGGCCACACUGGAACUGAGACACGGUCCAGACUCCUACGGGAGGCAGCAGUAGGGAAUCUUCCGCAAUGGGCGAAAGCUUGACGGAGCAACGCCGCGUGAGUGAUGAAGGUCUUCGGAUCGUAAAACUCUGUUAUUAGGGAAGAACAAAUGUGUAAGUAACUAUGCACGUCUUGACGGUACCUAAUCAGAAAGCCACGGCUAACUACGUG
rnacentral:rRNA from 1 species